rnacentral:lncRNA from 1 species
UGAAAUCAAAUUAGAAUGCAUGCAUGCUUUCAAUCCAGAGAUUGCACAACAGAUGUUACACAUUAUGAAUGACCAAUCCACUAAGCAAAAAUGCACUCAUGAAAAUUAACAGUUAAAACCAAGCAAGUGUUUCACUCAAGUGUUUAAGGUGACAACAACUUAAGCACAACUCUCUUCCUCACCAAUCUCACUCAUUCCCAACUUAUUCCUCUUUUCUUUUUCAUUGAGCUCCUCUCCAUGCUUUUCUUUUUUUCUUUUUUUUUUCUCAUGAAUUUUUCUAUUCACAACAUUUGAGCUCAAUGCUUUUCACUUGCCUUUCAAUUUUCCCCCAUACAACCCC